rnacentral:rRNA from 1 species
ACAUCCAGCGAACUUGGGCAGAGAUGCCUUGGUGCCUUCGGGAACGCUGAGACAGGUGCUGCAUGGCUGUCGUCAGCUCGUGUUGUGAAAUGUUGGGUUAAGUCCCGNAACGAGCGCAACCCUUAUCCUUUGUUGCCAGCGAUUCGGUCGGGAACUCAAAGGAGACUGCCGGUGAUAAACCGGAGGAAGGUGGGGAUGACGUCAAGUCAUCAUGGCCCUUACGAGUAGGGCUACACACGUGCUACAAUGGCGCAUACAAAGAGAAGCGACCUCGCGAGAGCAAGCGGACCUCAUAAAGUGCGUCGUAGUCCGGAUCGGAGUCUGCAACUCGACUCCGUGAAGUCGGAAUCGCUAGUAAUCGUGGAUCAGAAUGCCACGGUGAAUACGUUCCCGGGCCUUGUACACACCGCCCGUCACACCAUGGGAGUGGGUUGCAAAAGAAGUAGGUAGCUUAACCUUCGGGAGGGCGCUUACCACUUUGUGAUUCAUGACUGGGGUGAAGUCGUAACAAGGUAGGCGUAGCGAG